UGGUUUAGUAGGUCUCUGGUUAAAUCUACAAGCUUAACUUGUAGGCCGUCAGAGAUACCGCUAGACUAGGGAAUAGGAUAGGUGAGCGGUACGAUAUGGAGAAGCGGUGAAAUGCGUUGAUUCCUAUCGGACCCACAGUGGCGAAGGCGGCUCACUGGAAUAUCUCCGACAGUGAUGGAUGAAAGCCAGGGUAGCGAAGGGGAUUAGAGACCCCCGUAGUCCUGGCUGUAAACUAUGAGGACUAGGUGUUGGUCAAGGCCAAGAGCCUGAUCAGUGCCAAAGGGAAACUAUUAAGUCCUCCGCCUGGGGA
rnacentral:rRNA from 1 species